rnacentral:piRNA from 1 species
UAGGGACCAAAGACUGAUUUGUU